GGGUGCUUGAGGCUAUCUGUCUCAGGCAAAGACCAAAAGGCAGAUAGAGAAAAGCCCCGGAAACAUUGAGCGUCUUGCAGGAGGCUUAACACUUACCGAGGCCACAUCUAUGCCCAACAGCAUUAGAUUAGCCUCUUACAGACCCACGGGUCAAGGAGAAGCAGGCUAUG
rnacentral:antisense_RNA from 1 species